rnacentral:rRNA from 1 species
AUUGAACGCUGGCGGCAUGCUUUACACAUGCAAGUCGAACGGUAACAGGUUAAGCUGACGAGUGGCGAACGGGUGAGUAAUGCAUCGGAACGUGCCCGGUCGUGGGGGAUAACGCAGCGAAAGCUGCGCUAAUACCGCAUCCGAUCUGAGGAUGAAAGUGGGGGACCGUAAGGCCUCGCGCGAUCGGAGCGGGCGAUGUCAGAUUAGGUAGUUGGCGGGGUAAAGGCUCACCAAGCCAACGAUCUGUAGCUGGUCUGAGAGGACGACCAGCCCCACUGGGACUGAGACACGGCCCAGACUCCAACGGGAGGCAGCAGUGGGGAAUUUUGGAAAAUGGGCGAAAGCCUGAUCUUGCAUUGCCGCGUGCAGGAAGAAGGCCUUCGGGUUGUAAACUGCUUUUGUACGGAGCGAAAAGGUCUCCUCUAAUACAGGGGGCUCAUGACGGUACCGUAAGAAUAGGCACCGGCUAACUACGUGCCAGCCGCCGCCGUAA